AUGGUGCGCCGUUCGAGCGUUUCGGCUGGUCGUGCACGCGCACUUUCUUUUACUCUUGCUGCUAGUAGGCCCACCCCAUCGCUUUUUCUCAUACCUUAUCGUCUCGCACCCGCUCUCUCCACAGCCUGUCAUUUGCUCUUCUUCAUCCCGCAUCUCAGCUUUUCUCCUCUAACAAAUCGCCAGCAACGGCAUGGCUGCCCAUCGCCCCCGGCCACCCGUCGCCGGCAGGCGAGGUCGUCGGCGUCGACUCAACUGAGGCUGCGUGCUGCAACCCGCCACGACGGACAGCCGCUAGCCUGGGGCGACGGCCUGGCCGUGCGCCACCACACCCCGAGUCCUCUUGCGUUUGCGCUGCACGCUCCGACGAGGCCUUGCUACGAGCGGCGACCGGUCGCCGGAGACUGGCACAGCAGCGAGGCAUGCUGCAACCUGCGUCCGUCGAAGCUGGAACCGCCAUCUCGGCGUGCUGCAACCAGGCAACACAGAGCUGCGACGGGGGCGGGUGGCGACGGGCGGGGCUGGGAUUGCUGGAGCCAGCGACGGGAGAUUUGCUACAAGCCUACAACCAACGACAACGAAGUGUGGCCGGCGACGACGGUGCUGCGAUUAUUUUUGGUUGCAACCAGGGAACGGCGAGCGUGGCCGGCGAAGACGACACACGAUUUUUUGUUGCUGCAGCGGGUGCUGGGAUUUUAUGCGGAACCAUGGGGGCUCCUGGAACUGCGGUUGUCCGGGAUCGAGAAUGGCGAGCUGGCGGCGCGGGAGAGGAAGGAUUCUCUCGUUCGUGCUAUUGGCGAGUCACGACAGCGCGUAGGGGGUGCAGCGAGCGACGCCGGGAGGAGGGAUUCGCCCAGGGAUCGGAUGGCUAUGGGGUACAAAAUCGGACGGAUUGCGUGCGACCGGCCGAACCGUAGUGCCGGCGGAGCUUGGCCCGGGCAGGGAUUGAUCUACACUGUCGUCGAUGCGGAGCACGCCCAAGGUGUCGUGCAAUCUACGCUGCUGAACAUCCUAAGUUGGGGACACUGCCUACACUGUCACCGGCACAAGCUCACCCAGGUGGGGUGUGGAGCUUGGCCCGGGCAGGGAUCAAUCUACACUGUCGUCGAUGCGGAGCACGCCCAAGGUGUCGUGCAAUCUACGCUGCUGAACAUCCUAAGUUGGGGACACUGCCUACACUGUCACCGGCACAAGCUCACCCAGAGCUCGCCUAAAGGGGGCGACAUCGACACCAACACAAAGCUCGCCCAAGGUGGCAACAUCGUCAACAUCUACCCCAGCAUCCACACGACGCACGUCCACAACAUCGCCCAAGCACCAGCAAGGCGAAGCUGUACUCGACCGACAUGUCUUUUACCAAUGAAGCAACCCAUAUCUUGCGAGGCACUGAUGAGGCAAAGGCAAAUCAUCCAGUCCGACACCGACAAGGCGGACACCACCAGGCUGGGCACCGACAAGGCGAAGGCCGCCCACUUCAUCAUCGAACAAUGA
rnacentral:rRNA from 1 species